rnacentral:rRNA from 1 species
GAUGAACGCUAGCUACAGGCUUAACACAUGCAAGUCGAGGGGAAACGACAUCGAAAGCUUGCUUUUGAUGGGCGUCGACCGGCGCACGGGUGAGUAACGCGUAUCCAACCUGCCCACCACUUGGGGAUAACCUUGCGAAAGUAAGACUAAUACCCAAUGAUAUCUCUAGAAGACAUCUGAAAGAGAUUAAAGAUUUAUCGGUGAUGGUUGGGGAUGCGUCUGAUUAGCUUGUUGGCGGGGUAACGGCCCACCAAGGCUACGAUCAGUAGGGGUUCUGGGAGGAAGGUCCCCCACAUUGGAACUGAGACACGGUCCAAACUCCUACGGGAGGCAGCAGUGAGGAAUAUUGGUCAAUGGGCGAGAGCCUGAACCAGCCAAGUAGCGUGCAGGAUGACGGCCCUAUGGGUUGUAAACUGCUUUUAUAAGGGAAUAAAGUGAGCCUCGUGAGGCUUUUUGCAUGUACCUUAUGAAUAAGGACCGGCUAAUUCCGUGCCAGCCGCCGCCGUAA